rnacentral:rRNA from 1 species
CAAGGCGACGAUCAGUAGCGGGUCUGAGAGGAUGAUCCGCCACACUGGGACUGAGACACGGCCCAGACUCCUACGGGAGGCAGCAGUGGGGAAUUUUGGACAAUGGGGGCAACCCUGAUCCAGCCAUUCCGCGUGAGUGAAGAAGGCCUUCGGGUUGUAAAGCUCUUUCAGCUGGAACGAAACGGUGCGCUCUAACAYMSCGUGCUAAUGACGGUACCAGCAGAAGAAGCACCGGCUAACUACGUGCCAGCAGCCGCGGUAAUACGUAGGGUGCGAGCGUUAAUCGGAAUUACUGGGCGUAAAGCGUGCGCAGGCGGAUUGUUAAGCAAGACGUGAAAUCCCCGGGCUUAACCUGGGAAUGGCGUUUUGAACUGGCAGUCUAGAGUGCGUCAGAGGGGGGUGGAAUUCCACGUGUAGCAGUGAAAUGCGUAGAGAUGUGGAGGAACACCGAUGGCGAAGGCAGCCCCCUGGGAUGACACUGACGCUCAUGUACGAAAGCGUGGGUAGCAAACAGGAUUAGAUACCCUGGUAGUCCACGCCCUAAACGAUGUCAACUGGUUGUUGGGGGAG